rnacentral:lncRNA from 1 species
UGCGCCGAGGGCCCCGCGCAUGCGCACGGCUCGCAGGGGCGCCGCGGCGGGGCCGUUGAGCGGCGGUUUGCCCUUCCCGCCGCCUUUAGUGAUAGAGGCCUGUUAGUUACUCCGUAUUAAAGUAUUAGUACUUCGACUGUUAAAUAAUUAUCGUUCAGUAUUAAUUAAUUAUCACUUGACGCUAAUUAAUUAGUGGGUAGUAUCUAUCGAAUAUUGAAGCACUCGAUUUUUUUUUUCCAAAAAAUCAUGGAGGAAAUUCCAAAAGAGCGGGCCUGGGGGAGGUGCAGAAAAGGGUGGCUGCCUUGCUCGCCGGCAGCAGAAAGUGCGGGGCCUCCUGUGGUGGAGAGUGAGCUUUCUGCUAGCCCUCAGGCAGGACCCUGCAACAGAGCCGCCCCCCAGAACCGCUGCUUUACCCUGGCCGUGGUGGGGUGUCUCUGUGGGGAGCAGCUGGGGCAGAGAGCGCUUUGGUGUUCCCGGGCAGCAGGGCUGCUUCCAAAAGGGGAGGAGAGCCCUUCUCUGCAGUCUCCCCGCUUCUGAGGAGCCACAAAGCCCGUUUGCUGUAAUAGAAAUAACGUUUUCUACCCUAAAUAUGAGCAGUUCGGAGUGCUGAUAAAUGAAUGAUAAGGUAGCUGUCAUGGUUCCUUCCGCCUGUGACAGAGACUUGUUUAGAAAGCAAAAACUAAAUGCAUUAGAAAAAGUCAUAUAUUUUAAGAGGAAAACAAUUAUGAAGUCAGUUGAGGAUUUGUCUUGAAAUUUUGGAAAAUAUGAUUCUAGAGGUGAAUAUUGGAGACUGCUAUAGACAGUGCAUGCACAGCAGGAAAACCAGCCGGCUUAAACUCAAGAUCUCCUUGCUGCAGGCAUGUCACUUCGGAGAAUUUCUGGAUGCAACAGCCAAGGAGGUGACGAUGCCUCACGUUCUCAGCAUCGGCAAACGCCUUCAGAUACCGUCCUCAUCAUCAAACUGCGAAGGAAGUUUGCAGGCACGUCAGAGCCAACCUCUUCCAGUCAGUCAGCCCUUCCUGGAUCACUGUUUCUGCCUCACUUCAGACAACACCCUGCAACUCUUCCUUCCCAAGAAACUGGGCACAUCCCACUGUUGUGAAAAACAGAAGGAAGUUUAUCAGCAGCAAAAAUUUAACCUGGCAUAAAUAUAGUACAAAUAGACUUGGGG